CAACUGCUGUUGUUACGAUAGAUCUUGAGGCUGGCCUGACUGGUGAGACAUCAGAACAGAGCAGAAAGAACAGAACAGAACAGAACUUGUCUCUUGCCGUCGUCUUGUCUCUUGCUCUCGUGCUCUCUCGU
rnacentral:ribozyme from 1 species